AAGGAAAGCAGAACUCCUGACCUCUAGGCUGACUCUGCCCCAGCCUCCUGGUCCCCAUCCCUGACUCCGGGAGGCGCCCCUCCUGCUUUCUGAGUGGCUGAGCCGCCACACCCAACACUCCUGGAUUUUCGUGGGAAUGAUGAAAAAAAAAACUGAUGGAAGGGUGAAAUGUUUAGCAGAGCAUCAAAACUCAUCCUUUCACCUGCAAGCCUCUACACGGAAUAGCCCUUGGAAGAGGAACAGCUUGUCUGGCAGUGGGUGUCAGCGACCCCAGCAGGAGCAAGACUCAACUCAGAAGCCAUCCCGGGAUCUAAUUUCCCUUAAUCAAACGGAAGGCCUGAGGAGGAGCCACAAGGCAGAAAGAAAAAUAAAUCCGAGGGAGAACAGCACCUUGGGCGAGGAGCUGGGAAGACCUGCAUUAAAGAAAGGGCAUGAUACCUCCAGGACUUAGAGCUGGCUGCGCUCUGCGUGCAGCUAUUAACAUGCAAAAAAUACCUUCAUAAAUACUUGAUUCUGGUCACAGUGGGGAGGCAGUUCAUUUGAAAGAGGA